rnacentral:rRNA from 1 species
CAUGCGGAUUCUGCAAUGUCGUGAGCAACCAUAACUACCGCACAUGCCCACUCCGCACAUAUGCCACUGUCAACAAGAACAAGCAGAUUGGAGCCACCCAACUUUCUACCAAUGGAGACAACACACGUAACAGCUACACUUGCCGCAAGUGUGGCGGAACUGACGGACAUAAUGCCCGCACGUGCAAAGUGGGCAAGGAGGUCAGUGGAGCUGAACAUAAACAGGGCAACGUACAGAGUUCCAAGC